UACGGGGGGAGCAAGCGUUGUUCGGAUUUACUGGGUGUAAAGGGCGCGUAGGCGGCCACCGCAAGUCAGUUGUGAAAUCUCUGGGCUUAACCCAGAAAGGUCAACUGAUACUGCGGGGCUAGAGUGCAGAAGGGGCAACUGGAAUUCUCGGUGUAGCGGUGAAAUGCGUAGAUAUCGAGAGGAACACCUGCGGCGAAGGCGGGUUGCUGGGCUGACACUGACGCUGAAGCGCGAAAGCUAGGGGAGCGAACGGG
rnacentral:rRNA from 1 species